rnacentral:rRNA from 1 species
CCUACGGGCGGCAGCAGUGGGGAAUAUUGCACAAUGGGGGGAACCCUGAUGCAGCGACGCCGCGUGGGUGAAGGAGUAUUUCGGUAUGUAAAGCCCUAUCAGCAGGGAAGAACAAUGACGGUACCUGACUAAGAAGCACCGGCUAAAUACGUGCCAGCAGCCGCGGUAAUACGUAUGGUGCAAGCGUUAUCCGGAUUUACUGGGUGUAAAGGGAGCGCAGGCGGCGCGUUAAGCCUGGUGUGAAAGCCCGCGGCCCAACCGCGGGACGGCAUUGGGGACUGGCGCGCUGGAGUGCCGGAGGGGUAGGCGGAAUUCCUAGUGUAGCGGGGAAAUGCGUAGAUAUUAGGAGGAACACCAGUGGCGAAGGCAGCUUGCUGCAGCGGAACUGACGCUGAUGCUCGAAAGCGCGGGUAUCGAACAGGAUUAGAUACCCCUGUAGUC